GCCACACCUUCUCCCAUGCUACCUCUGAAGGCUCAGAUGGGCGGAUCCAGCGCAGAAACAGUCCUGAGGAGGAGGAGGACAUAGGAAGGUGCCAAAAGGAGAGGCAUAGGCAUGUUCAAACAGCGCCAACAGCAGCCCCUCCCCAAACUCCAGCGACAGCGGGAACUGGCGGCCCAGCUGCCACACACAAUCCAGGAAGAGGAGAAAGGUCCCCACAUGCCUCCACCAGGCGCACAAAGCUCUCCUGUAGAGGCCGCCCCCUGUACAAGUGGGAGUCUUGUUAUCUCUCCCCCAGCCCAAGCUCUGGUGAGAACAGCCUGAGAACAAAUGCUCCAGACCAAAGAGGGAGACACAGAACCCUGAGAGGAGCACAGGACACUUUGAGGAUCCCACCUAAUCUGAUGGAAAUUAUUCAUAUCCUUAAGGAGGAUACCCAAGAUUGGGGAGUCCUUGUCUGUUGGGGGUGAGGCACAGAAUUACCUAGAGAAGGGUCAUAUAGCCCUCUGGGAAAAUGCCCUGGGAAACCCCCAAUUUGAUGAAAGUAUUACAGUAUCCUUCAAGUACCCCAAUCUGAUGAGAGCAACACAGUACUCCCUGGGGAUCCCCCAGCCUGACAAGAGAAACAAACACUUGGGAUUCUGGUAUCUGCUUCUACUUCCCAUAAACUUUCUCUGAUCAAGAUCACCAGUGACCUCCUAACAGAAAAUCUUUUUUUAAUUAUUUUUUAUUUUUUCAAUU